ACCUUGUCAAGAUAAGAACUUGGAUGCUUCUUGGACGACAAAGAAGUUGCAGCUGGCAUGGAAAGGAUAUUUUGUCUACUUGUGUCUGCUGACAAAGAAGUUGGGUUUGUUUGUCCAACCGCAAUCAAUAUUAAGGGAGCAACAGAACACACAAGUCUUAAUCAGGUACGUAAACAAGAACAAAGUUACCAAAGACAGUAUUGUAGGAAUCUUCUUCACAAACUCUCUUCUUUACAAGAUGUUUUAUUCAGGUUCAAGCAACGUCACCAAACGGCUCCUCUCUCUCUUCAUUAGGGUUUUAUUUGAAGAUAAGAUCUCAAGAGUGUUUGAAUGUGGAUCGAGAGAUCCUAACCGGAUGUAUCGCUUCGCUUGUGUGAGCUCCUCUUAUUUGCUCUGUUUUAUCUUCUUCCUCUCCAUAUCGUUCUUUCUCUGUUUCUGUGAACUGGUGUUGAUGACAAAUAGCUUAGAAGCUUGAGCCUUUGAGAGGUUAAGCUUAAGCUCAGUACUUGACUUUUAUUUCA